CUUGUCAAGUAGUUCUAAACCAUACAAAAAGCCUCCUUCCUACCCAGAGGUUGUGAUUUCCGGGGGUGGAUCAAGUAGUUUGACUCACCGAGAAAAUGCCAAGUCAGCAUUUCUGCCCCACAAUGAGACGGUGUGGAAGAGAGCACUACACGCUUGGUAUGAGAUGGGCUCUCCAGGUGUAUUCGAGGAAAUUGUCAACAGUAGCAGUGAAG